rnacentral:rRNA from 1 species
ACUUUGAUACACCAGUUCUCGUGCGAUCACCGAAGUUAAGCAACGUUGAGACUGGUCAGUACCUGGAUGGGUGACCGCUUGAGAAUU